rnacentral:tRNA from 1 species
UAGCUCAGAGGUUAAAGCAUCUGCCUGCAAUGCGGGAGACCCGGGUUCGAUCCCUGG